rnacentral:rRNA from 1 species
GACGAACGCUGGCGGCGUGCUUAACACAUGCAAGUCGAACGGAAAGGCCCUGCUUUUGUGGGGUGCUCGAGUGGCGAACGGGUGAGUAACACGUGAGUAACCUGCCCUUGACUUUGGGAUAACUUCAGGAAACUGGGGCUAAUACCGGAUAGGAGCUCCUGCUGCAUGGUGGGGGUUGGAAAGUUUCGGCGGUAGGGGAUGGACUCGCGGCUUAUCAGCUUGUUGGUGGGGUAGUGGCUUACCAAGGCUUUGACGGGUAGCCGGCCUGGGAGGGGGACCGGCCACAAUGGGACUGAGAUACGGCCCAGACUCCUACGGGAGGCAGCAGUGGGGAAUAUUGCACAAUGGGCGGAAGCCUGAUGCAGCAACGCCGCGUGCGGGAUGACGGCCUUCGGGUUGUAAACCGCUUUCGCCUGUGACGAAGCGUGAGUGACGGUAAUGGGUAAAGAAGCACCGGCUAACUACGUG